UAUAAACUUCCUUGUGGGACACGUAUCGUAAAUACAGCAAUAGUAUUGAUAAACUUAUUUGACAAUAUACAAUUAAAGAUCAUAUUCAUUUAUAAUGAUACAAAAAUUCACUUACUGCUUAAUUUAAUUUGUGGUUCAUUCUGUACCAAUGAAGGUCCAAACACUGGGUGUCGCAGUAAUUGAACACCUGCGGUUGGAGGUAGUUUGGCCUUUACCAAUGAAGGCCAAGAAAAAAGGUUGAACGUGUAUACACGAUGGGGGGUUUUCGUUGACGAUAUGUUUAAAAUGCAAUCAUCUUUCCCCGCUUGGCUGAAAAUACCACUUGGCAGGAAGUUAACAUCCAUGUUGUAUGCUGUCGGAAAUAGUCGCCAUUCCAACGAAGAAGUGCACGCGAUGAUGGUCAACGAUUUAAAGCAGUUUUCGGCAAUUCUAGAGUGUAUUAUGCUUCUAAGGCGACCAAAAAAUACGUUAUGGGAGACCGGAUAGGUGAUGUUGACUGCGCGGCGUUCGGUAUCUUGUCCCAGGUCCGCUGGUGCACGCCGUCAGCCGUUUCGGGAGCUGCUAUGUUACAAGGUGCUGAAUUAAAGAAUAUCACAGACUACAUGGACAGAAUAAAGAACGACUUUUGGCCAGACUGGGAAGAAAUAACAAGUCAGGCGGCACAGAAAGCUUUAUGAUGAUGGAAUUAUACAAAUUAUUCAAAAGUUUGAGGACAAGCAACGGAAAAAAAUACCAUCGAUGUCGUUGAUUUGCAGAAAUUCAAUAGGGCACCUUAUUGAGUCGAAUUCGUAAAGCAUCUUGGGGAACAUUACUUUGCAAACUUUGCAAAAGCAAAACAAAGAUGUCUAAAUCAUAAAUGAAUAUGUGACUGAACAAAUUAUACAUUUCUCCAUAAUGUUAAAACUCGGCACCAUUGCGACUUCUGUCUGUGCUAAAAAACGGCGCGAGUUUGCCCACUGUCCAUAAUGGCAACGCACGGGUCCAGUGUGCCCUCUGUGCAUUAUGCUUAAACACGGCGCGAGUUUGCCCACUGUCCAUAAUGACAACACACGGGUCCUAUAUUCCCCCUGUCCAUAAUGGCAACACACAGCACUGCUGUUUUCUCUGUCCGUAAUGGCAACUCAUGGGUCCAAUGUGCCAUCUGUCACAAAUGGCAACACACGGCGCAAGUGUUUCCUCUGUCCAUAUUGUUCAAUUGCUCAACAAUAUUAUGGGUUUGAUGGACUGGUCUGACCCUCAGUGGCGAAAACUCUCAGCUCCCUUUUACAUAUCCCUUCCCUUGCCCACAACGGCUGAAUGGUCAUAAAACUAGCUGAACUAUACAAACAACUGUUUAAAAGUAGUAGAAUACAAGGGACGAUACCAUUUCAAUAAACACGAUAACUAAACCCUGAUGCAUAUUGCAGACACGACAUACUGGAUAUACUGUGAUAAUUACUGUGUGUUUAUUGUUAUUAAUGGUUAUCAUUCGAAUCCCCCUUAUUUACGCGUCAUUUGUAAUUGGAAAUACAUAUUUGGACAUGAAUAAGUCUGAAUACUUGAAGACUAGUUUACCCCCUCAUUUAUUAUUUUCGCUAACCGUUCCAAGUCGGUAACCCCAACUCUUAUUAAUAUUUUAAUGCACGCAUGUGUCGUCUGUAUAAAUGGAGAUUUUGAAGUGUAAAAAACACCAUUUUCUUUAAAGAAAACAAUAUCUUCAUUGUUAUAAUAAGCAUAACAGAAAAUGCUUGAAUUUUUUUCAUCUCUAUUUUUGGUUGUCAAUGGCCAGCAAAGAAUAACCAUCGUAUUUGUUUAAUUUGUAUGUCAUAAAAAAACUCAUAUGACCAUUUAAUCGUCGAUUUUCUAAGACAAAAACAACGAUACAAUGAAUAACACAUGUGAA